rnacentral:piRNA from 1 species
UCCUGGGUUGGCCACUGGAUGCGUUCACAAU